rnacentral:piRNA from 1 species
UGCGCUUGCCUCUAGCCAUUGGGUUGUCUC